ensembl:lncRNA
CUUCAGUCUGUUGCGAGCACUGUCUCUUUCCAUUUUCACUUUCACAUUUUGCCUCAGAUUAGUAUCAUUGGAGUGGCUGCUGUUAAAACUUGUGCUUUGAAUGAAGAGAUCCUCCAAACAGGCUUUGUGUGAGCAACAUGGCUGUUUUUCACCUGGGUGCAGAGCCCCCACAAAGUUAAAAGUUUCAGUCUUCUGGAUCUACCUUGCAGAGUUUCACUCUUGUUACCCAGACUGGACUGCAAUGGCGCGAUCUCGGCUCACGGCAACCUCCGCCUCCUCGGUUCAGGCAAUUCUCCUGCCGCAGCCUCCUGAGUAGCUGGGAUUACAGGCACGCACCACCAUGCCCAGCUAAUUUUUUUUGUAUUUUUAGUAGAGACGGGGUUUCACCAUGUUAACCAGGAUGGUCUCGAUCUCUUGACCUCGUGAUCCACCUGCCUUGGCCUCCCAAAGAGCUGGGAUUACAGGCGUGAGCCACCGCGCCCGGCCCAGAAUUCCCUUAUUAAAAAUACUUGUAAAAUGUUUUGUGGGUGGGUAGUUUUUUUAAAUGUAUAUAUAAGAACUUGGUCUUAAAGUAUAUAUGUCUAAUUUUAAUAGAGACUGCUAAAAAAAUUUUAUAUACCAUGGGAAAUUUUCUGUAUUGUGGUUGAUUCUGGCAAAUUGUGUUUUCCUAGCAAAUUAGCCACUUAAUUUAUGUUUUAAACAUUAUUUGCAGAAGUUUGUGAAAGGUAGUUUCAUUAAUUUUUAAAAGCCCUUUAUUCAAUGCUUAUUUUCUCCUAAUCAUUUUUAUUUUGUGUUCUUGAUAUUUGCCUAUUUUCUUGAGUUUUUAACGACCCAGUAUUUUUACUUAUUAGUUUUAUUAUUUUUUCAUUUCAUUAAUUUUUGCAUUUAUCUUUCUUUUUAUUGACAUAGUUUUAAAUUAUGAUUUUUGUCUCAAAUUGCUAAUUCAGUUGCAUCCUCAAGAUUCCCUUAUAUGGUGUUAUUAUUAUUGUUUCAGAAAUGCUGUGAUGUUAUUUACCUUUCCCUUUUCAGCUGAGAACAUUUUUUCAUUGUUUUAUAACAUCUACAGCACAGUACACAAAUUUUAAGUUUAUAUCUUGAUGAAUUUCUGCUUACGCAUACGCUUUGUAACCACAUCCAGAUGGAGCUAUGGAACAUAUAUGGCACCCCAAAAAGCUUCCUUAUGACCUUUACAAAUUGACAACAGCCCAUCUUCUCAUUACAUAAUUAUUAUUAUGACUUCUAUCAUAAUAGAUUAAUUUUGCCCAUUUUUUUACCCUAAUAUUAUAUAGACCCACAUAGGAUAUAUGGCCAAUAAUAAAUAAAAGAAUAUUCAGACACUUUAGUAAUCAGGGAAAUACAAAUUAAACCAAAAAAUGAAGAACUCUUCAUACCUACAUGAUGGAAAAACACUUCAAAGUUGACAAAUACCUGAAGGGUUGGCAAGGAUGUAGAGUAAUGAAAACUAUUCUAGAAGCAUCUCUGAAAAUAAUAGAGCAUUAUUAUGAUAUAAAGUUGAAUAUGUACCCACACCAUACUACCUAGCAUUUUAACUUAUAGAAUUAUACCUAAGGGAAAUUUCUGCACAUGUUCACUAGAAGGUAUAUACAUGAAUGUUUCGGCAGCUUUUUAAAAAUGACAACAAAAAAGAUGGAAAUAACCUAAAUGCCCAUCAAGUGCUUCUCCCAUUAUAUAGGUAAAUCUUUGCUAAGAAUAGAGUAAUUUCAUAAUGAUAUAUGUUCAAUUUUUAUUUUUUUGAGAUGGAGUCUCAUUCUUGUUGCCCAGGUGGAGUGCAAUGGUACAAUCUCUGCUCACUGCAACCUCGGUCUCCAGGUUUCAAGCAAUUCUCCUGCCUUAGCCUCCCAAGUAGCUGUGAUUACAGGCAUGUGCUACAAUACCUACUUUUGUAUUUUUAGUAAAGAUGGGAUUUCUCCAUGUUGGUCAGGCUGUUCUUGAACUCCCAAUCUCAGGUGAUCUGCCUACCUUGGCCUCCCAAACUGCUCAGAUUACAGGCAUGAGCUACCAUGCCUGGCUCAAAUGUUCAAUUUUUAAAUAAGAAUCAAAUAUCAAAUUUAUAUGUAUUUAAUAAUAGUUCAAAAUUUAUAAAUCAAAAACUGGCAGAGCCACAAAAUAUAAAUAGUAUCUACAAUAGUAUCUCAAACUGUUAAAUGCAGGUAAAAUAAAAAUAAGAGUGCAGAAGGUUUAAAGAAUGCAGUUAGUGCCUAAAGGACAUAUAUGGAACAUGACAGAAUAUGCCAACGAGUAAGUGCAGAAUAUACCUUCUUGUAAGCACAUAGGGAACAUUUUCAGAGUUCUCUUCUGAGAACUUCUA